UACAUGGUACGCGAGGUACGCGCUUGGUGUGUUCGCGGCGGUAUGAGAUAACCCGACGGCGUGUAGCCGUGAACUACGCUCGUAGAAACUGUGGAGACAUGCUGGUUCCUGUCGAAUAUAAGGGGGUGAGCAAAUGGGUCAGGGUACCAAAGGUGGAGGAGGUCUUCAGUUUCUCUGAAUUUUUACAAGGAGUGCUGGCAAAAUUCAAUUUGUCAGGUUUUACUGCUUUGAUGCUCAAGGAUUCUGCAGGAGUUGAAGUGGAUUCUGACAUCUUUGAUGAGCUUUUGAAGUCAUCUCAGGUCAUAGGCGUCGAUUACGCCGGGGACGUGUCCCCACCAGUUUUCGUAAAGACUCAUUUUGUCCCCACCAGAAAAAAUAAAUAAAAUAAAAUAAAAUUGGAAUGCAGUUUUUUUAAAAAAAAUGAAUGUUAAUAGCGCGAGACAGAUGCGAACCAAUCCACAAAAAGUCUAUCUGGAUACGGCACACAGCCGUCAACAAUUUGCAACAAUUAUAACAUUUGGAUGAGUAGUUCUAGAAUGGGGGAGGGCUGGGUGGUACGGUGGGCGGCUCCUUCUCUGUGUAAUCUGAACCUGACUGCUUGCUGCGCACUUCCAUGGACAAUCUGCUGCGGUUGCAGCCUCAUGCAUUUGAGGAGAGGAGGUCCGGAGGAGGAACUUGGUUCUGCCAACUCACCUCUUCAUUGCCAUCUACCAGUUCCUGCCUUUCAUUGAGCUCUGAUGCACUUGGUUCCUGUUCCUUAUAAAUAAAUAAAAAUGUGUUAACUCAAUUGAU